GAAAUGCGUUAAGUAAUGUGAAUUGCAGAAUUCAGUGAAUCAUCGAAUCUUUGAACGCACAUUGCGCCCGCCAGUAUUCUGGCGGGCAUGCCUGUUCGAGCGUCAUCUAAACCUUCAAGCCCUGCUUGGUGUUGGGUGCCUGUCCUGCCUCCGCGCGCGGACUCACCUCAAAUCCAUUGGCGGCCCCCGCGUCGGCCACGAGCGCAGCAGAAACGCGAACUCGUGAGCCCGUCCGGGCGGCUCCCAGAAGCUACACCCACCCAGUUUGACCUCGGAUCAGGUAGGGAUACCCGCUGAACUUAAGC
rnacentral:misc_RNA from 1 species